rnacentral:rRNA from 1 species
CUUGCUAAGUUUGAUGGCGACCGGCGCACGGGUGAGUAACACGUAUCCAACCUGCCGAUGACUCGGGGAUAGCCUUUCGAAAGAAAGAUUAAUACCCGAUGGCAUAGUUCUUCCGCAUGGUGGAACUAUUAAAGAAUUUCGGUCAUCGAUGGGGGUGCGUUCCAUUAGGUUGUUGGCGGGGUAACGGCCCACCAAGCCUUCGAUGGAUAGGGGUUCUGAGAGGAAGGUCCCCCACAUUGGAACUGAGACACGGUCCAAACUCCUACGGGAGGCAGCAUG